CAAAAAAACACAAUAAAAAUCCAAUAAAGGAAAGAAAGUGAAGAAUCAAAUUCAAAGAGAAAAUGGCGAACAAGAUGAUCAGCGAGAUCCCACUUCCCAAAUCCAUCGCCAAUGUCUUUGCCGCCCGUAAUAUUUCUACUGCCAAGGACGCGUUAUCUUUAACGGAAUUUGAGCUAAUGGAGUUGUUAGACGUGGGAUUGACGGAAGUAAGAUCUGCAUUAUCGCAAAUUAGUGAGAUCGUUGCUCCACCGUAUCAAACUGCACUUUCCUUAAUGGAACAGCGGUUUCAAAACGAGCAUUUGGGAGGCCAUUUUCCAACAGGCUUGAAAGGAUUGGAUGCAGCUUUAUGUGGGGGAAUUCCAUUUGGGGUUUUAACUGAAUUAGUUGGUCCAGCUGGAAUUGGCAAAACCCAAUUUUGUUUGAAGCUUUCGCUAUUGGCUUCGCUGCCUACAAAUUGUGGAGGCUUGGAUGGUCGAGUGAUAUAUAUUGAUGUUGAAUCUAAAUUCAGUUCAAGAAGGUUGUUAGAAAUUGGAUUGAGAAGUUUUCCUGAAAUAUUUCAGAUGAAAGAAAUGGCACAGGAGAUGGCUGGUAGAAUUUUUGUUUUGCGGCCAUCAUCACUUUCUGAAUUUACCCAGAGUUUGCAACAAAUCAAAGUUUCACUCCUCCAAAACCAAGUGAAGAUGCUAGUAAUCGAUAGCAUGGCUGCUCUUGUAUCAGGGGAACAUGAGCAGGGGGUACGUAGACAACAAACAUUGAGUUGGCACAUUUCGUUCAUUAAGUCACUGGCUGAAUUUUCACGAAUUCCUGUUGUAGUUACAAACCAAGUGAGAUCUCAAAGCCAUGAUGAAGCCUCUCAAUAUUCUUUCCAAGAAUAUCUGUCUUGUGCAGUUCAGAGUAGGGAUGGGAUUGUGGAGACUCCGACAAGAUAUGAUUCUCAUCUUGUUGCCGCUUUGGGGAUUCAUUGGGCUCAUGCUGUAACCACUCGUUUAGUGCUGGAAGCUAAAUCAGGUCAGAGGUUUAUAAAGGUGGCAAAAUCUCCAAUAUCUCCCCCUCUGGCUUUUCCUUUCCACAUAACUUCAUCAGGGAUUUCAUUGCUAAGUGAUGAAGGAAUGGAACUGAUGGGGCCUGAGAUAAACUCAAUUCACUGUCAAGGGCACAAUGAAAUAAUCAAUUUCAGAAUGGAAAGCUUAGUUUGAUCAAUCCAGGCACAAGCUUCAUGAAUCAGAUUUCAGGCUGGCUUCAAGAGCUUUGCUGCUAUGAAAUUUGACAGUUCAUUUUGAACCACCUUUCCCCCCAUUUGCAUUUACAGAAAAGAAAGAUUCCUCAUUGUUUAUCUGGAUGACAAAGGUAUCUUGUAGAACAGUGGAUAACUCUGCUGAUUUGGGUUUGGGGAAGAUAUUUAUGAUCAAGAGCUGCUUUUCUUUAUUACAAGUAGGUAAGAAAUUAACUCUGCAGUUCUUUGCUUUUGGCAAUAAACAAUUUGUUUAUGUUAACUCCAGAGGAAACAUGUAUUUAUGCAUCAGAUCUUAGGGUUUUUAUUCUGCAUUGGGAGAAGAGAUGACUCUCUCAGCCAAUCCCUGGUUUACAGAGGAAAAAGAACAGAGAUUACUGCAACAACCCUUUCUUUUUAUUUGGGAAGAUAAAGUGCACAUUGUCAUUUACUAGGAUUCAUGAAUGUGGACCAAAACCCAUAGAAACAAAUCUUGGGGAUGCUCGAAUAAUGAUCUCAAAGAUAAAGACAUGGGUUAAACAUUGAGUUAAGUCCAAGG